UGCGGUGUAGCUCAGUUGGAUAGAGCACUCUGUUUUCUACAUGUCAUGUAGUAGCUGGCGUUACCCAUGAUAUGGGCAGAGGGGUCGGAGGUUCAAGUCCUCCCACUGCUC
rnacentral:tRNA from 1 species